rnacentral:rRNA from 1 species
CAGUCGCCACGGUAAUACGGAGGGAGCUAGCGUUGUUCGGAAUUACUGGGCGUAAAGCGCGCGUAGGCGGUUACUCAAGUCAGAGGUGAAAGCCCGGGGCUCAACCCCGGAACUGCCUUUGAAACUAGGUGACUAGAAUCUUGGAGAGGUCAGUGGAAUUCCGAGUGUAGAGGUGAAAUUCGUAGAUAUUCGGAAGAACACCAGUGGCGAAGGCGACUGACUGGACAAGUAUUGACGCUGAGGUGCUAAAGCGUGGGGAGCAAACAGGAUUAGAUACCCCUGUAGUCCCUGUCUCUUAUAC